UUUAAACUUGAGAGUUUGAUCAUGGCUCAGAACGUACGCUGGCGGCACGCCUAACACAUGCAAGUCGAACGAAGUAGCAAUACUUAGUGGCAGACGGGUGAGUAACAUGUAGGUAUCUGCCCUUUGGCCUGGAAUAACACGAGGAAACUUGUGCUAAUACCGGAUAAGUCUUUACGGAGAAAGCUUUAUGCACCAUUGGAUGAGCCUGCACUUGAUUAGUUUGUUGGUAGGGUAAUGGCCUACCAAGACUGUGAUCAAUAGCUGAUUUGAGAGGAUGAUCAGCCACAUUGGGACUGAGACACGGCCCAAACUCCUACGGGAGGCAGCAGUGGGGAAUCUUGCACAAUGGAGGAAACUCUGAUGCAGCGAUGCCGCGUGAGUGAAGAAGGCCUUUGGGUUGUAAAGCUCUUUCGUCGGGGAAGAAAAUGACUGUACCCGAAUAAGAAGGUCCGGCUAACUUCGUGCCAGCAGCCGCGGUAAUACGAAGGGACCUAGCGUAGUUCGGAAUUACUGGGCUUAAAGAGUUCGUAGGUGGUUGAAAAAGUUGGUGGUGAAAUCCCAGAGCUUAACUCUGGAACUGCCAUCAAAACUUUUCAGCUAGAGUUUGAUAGAGGAAAGCAGAAUUUCUAGUGUAGAGGUGAAAUUCGUAGAUAUUAGAAAGAAUACCAAUUGCGAAGGCAGCUUUCUGGAUCAAUACUGACACUGAGGAACGAAAGCAUGGGUAGCGAAGAGGAUUAGAUACCCUCGUAGUCCAUGCCGUAAACGAUGUGUGUUAGACGUUGGAAAUUUAUUUUCAGUGUCGCAGCGAAAGCGAUAAACACACCGCCUGGGGAGUACGACCGCAAGGUUAAAACUCAAAUGAAUUGACGGGGACCCGCACAAGUAGUGGAGCAUGUGGUUUAAUUCGAAGAUACGCGCAGAACCUUACCAACACUUGACAUGUUCGUCGCGACUUUAAGAGAUUAAAGUUUUCGGUUCGGCCGGACGAAACACAGGUGCUGCAUGGCUGUCGUCAGCUCGUGUCGUGAGAUGUUGGGUUAAGUCCCGCAACGAGCGCAACCCUCACUUUUAGUUGCCAUCAUUUAGUUGGGCACUCUGAAAGAACUGCCAGUGAUAAGCUGGAGGAAGGUGGGGAUGACGUCAAGUCCUCAUGGCCCUUACGUGUUGGGCUACACACGUGCUACAAUGGUAUUUACAACAGGAAGCAAAACGGCGACGUUUAGCAAAUCCUUAAAAAAUACCUCAGUUCGGAUUGCACUCUGCAACUCGAGUGCAUGAAGCUGGAAUUACUAGUAAUCGUGGAUCAGCGUGCCACGGUGAAUGCGUUCCCGGGUCUUGUACACACCGCCCGUCACACCAUGGGAGUUGGUUCUACCUUAAGGCAAGGCUUUAAAACCUUGACCACGGUAUAGUCAGCGACUGGGGUGAAGUCGUAACAAGGUAGCCGUAGGGGAACCUGCGGCUGGAUUACCUCCUUUCUAA
rnacentral:rRNA from 1 species